AAGAACUGGGGUAUAGGCCAAAGGUGUGUGUGUGGGGGGUGAGAGGAUUCACCAGAGACAGAGUGGGGAACAGAGCAGGUAGACAGUCUGAAAUACACUGCUGAGGGGAGCAGUGGGCAAGUCAGGAGAGGUCUGCUAUGCCAUGUGGGUAGCUCCCUGGCCAGGUGGGGAUUGAACUUGUGCUGCAGUGACUGCGGAUAGCUUCCUGGUGCUGUGCUUAACCCCUUGCACCACCAGGGAGGCCCCUGAAUCCCAUGUUUUGUUGCCCAUGUGUGAUCAUUCUGUGUGCUGCCUUGCUGGGCUCCUUAAACGGUAGUUCUGAAUGACCUACCCUACCACUCCCACAGCCCCCAACAAAGGGAGGCACUCACUACAGUUUUAAACUUAAUUAUAUCUUUAUUUUCAUGGGACAUAUGCACAUGUUUCCUAUUAAAGUGUACACUCUAAGGGCAGAGGUUAUGUCACACUGGUCUUUUCUGUGCUCAGCACUGGCCUGUUGUGGGCACACAGUAGUGGGUGGUAAAUGAAUAGAUUGAUGAACUAUUGGAUCAUUUUUAGCUGAAGAUGAUUCAAAUGAAAACUUUCAGGAGACAAACAACAUGGUAUAGUUUCUUGAAACCCAUUGUUAUUUUCUCAUAGGCUGAAAGUAUUUUUAGAAUGGAAGUUUUCUUGGAACUCAACAUGAUUAAUCAGCAGAAAUAGCCAGUGGUAGCAGGGACAUCUAUGUGCCUUCAGGAUUUUACUUCUUGGUGGAAGCCGAGAGUUAACUUGCCUUUCCGAAGAAUUCUCUUAGAGGCAAUCAUAAGGGAUCUUUGAGUGUUUGAGGAAUCGCCACUGAUAGAUCAUGUGGCCCUCAGAUGACCACAGAGAUCGCUCCAAAAUGAAGUUCUCCAGAAGGGAUGUGUUCCCGUUGUGCCAAGGUGAAGGGCAGUGUGCCUGCAGACAGAGCUGAGCUAUCAUCCCAUUCCAGUCACCAAAUGGAGUUUGCUGCUUGGAAGUACCUUUGGCAAAGACAAGAGGAGACCCAUUUCUCAAGCUCAAGGAAGACAGGAAAAGUUGUGAUUGGAUACUGCCAUUGCCAAUCAUCUUGGAUAUGAUGGAAAGUGAUUUCCUGAAGAAAGAAAUGCUUUCUAGAUGGUGUUCACCGUGCUUAACUGUGGACAGAUCUUGUUGAGUUCACCUUUUCUAACCUGGGGGAUAUUGAUUGUCCAUUUGGAUUUUUUAAAUGUUGACUAUCCAAGGAGAAAUAGAUUAUGUUAGAAGUUUGAUAAACUAAUGCAACUAAUAUCUAAUAAUUUCUUUUAUAAUGCAGUGUUACUUUUUUUUUUAAAGAUUCAUUUAUUUAUACAAGAACUGGGGUACAGUCCAGAUGUGUGGGAGGGUGAGAGGAUUCACCAGAGAUAGAGUGGGGAACAGAACAGACAGACUAACUGAAAUACACUGCUGAGGGGAGCAGCGGGCGAGACACGAGAGGUCUGCCAUUCCA